rnacentral:rRNA from 1 species
UCCUACGGGAGGCAGCAGUAGGGAAUCUUCCGCAAUGGACGAAAGUCUGACGGAGCAACGCCGCGUGAGCGAAGAAGGCCUUCGGGUCGUAAAGCUCUGUUGUAAGGGAAGAACAAGUGCCAUUUAACUGAUGGCACCUUGACGGCACCUUACGAGAAAGCCACGGCUAACUACGUGCCGGCAGCCGCGGUAAUACGUAGGUGGCAAGCGUUGUCCGGAUUUAUUGGGCGUAAAGCGCGCGCAGGCGGUCCUUUAAGUCUGAUGUGAAAGCCCACGGCUCAACCGUGGAGGGUCAUUGGAAACUGGGGGACUUGAGUGCAUAAGAGGAAAGUGGAAUUCCACGUGUAGCGGUGAAAUGCGUAGAGAUGUGGAGGAACACCAGUGGCGAAGUCGACUUUCUGGUCUGUAACUGACGCUGAGGCGCGAAAGCGUGGGGAGCAAACAGGAUUAGAUGCCCUGGUAGUCCACGCCGUAAACGAUGAGUGCUAAGUGUUAGGGGGUUUCCGCCCCUUAGUGCUGCAGCUAACGCAUUAAGCACUCCGCCUGGGGAGUACGGCCGCAAGGCUGAAACUCAAAGGAAUUGACGGA